ensembl:lncRNA
CUUAUUUCUUGCGGUCUUUGGGCUAGUUUCCAACUUGUCUGAGUGCAGCUGCUGCAAGGGAAGAUUGUGGGUCCAUGUGCAAUGUUCUCCUAUUCUUUGUUGCUAAUGCAGUUUGUCUUUUCUCUUUCCUUUGUCAAAGUGAAAGCUUAUUUCAGGUUCCUCUGCUUCUAGCAUUGGCCUCAACUGAACAUGCUGGCAAAAUACCUGUAGUGGAAAUGCUAAGUCAGAGCUUGAACCAGUGAUUGAGCACCUGGUGGGAAGGCAGGGCCAACCAAGGGGAGCUCAGGUGCAUGCAAUGUAACUGAGUGACCAGAAGGGAUGGAGCCAGGAUCCACCCCUUCCUAGACAUCACACAAGUGUUGGCAGUGGAGGCAAGCAAGGACUUCUGAAGCCCACAAGCUUCAUAGAUCUGAAAAAAGGAGCAGUCACUUUCCAGAGAAGAGAACCUGGAAGACCCGGCUGCUGCUGGGACAACCUCUGCUUGCUCCUUGUAACCACCAUGAGAAACUCUGCAGGCAGCUGCAAGCAUCCUACUAGCAAGGCAAGAAGAUCCUGAUAAGGAUGAAUCAAGAUCUGUGAGUCUCGUCUCUUUGAUGCCAGCAUAUCUCAUUGUGAACAGCCUAAACCAAACCUGCUGGAAAGGCACAGACCCAUUGCAACAUCCUCUCAAGAGCAAGGGGAUGUUAUCCUGUGCUACCGUGACCACCAGCAUUUGGGGAGAUGGAAGCUGCAUUUAAGGAUUCUGCCAGGCAAAAGAGAGAAGUGACCCUGGACCCUUCAGUUCAUAGAGAGCUGGUUGGCACUUACUUUGGUUGGCCCAAAGGAAAUACAAUCAAGUGUGUGUGAAAGAGCAAGCACUGGGUCACAGCUCCGAGAGCAGCAGUAAGAAGCACUCUUUCUCUGCAAAGCAAGGGGCUUAUGGGCAAAACACAGCCAUUCUCAGACAGCUCAAUGAAACACACACAACCUGAACAAAAACAGCAGCACCAUGACUUUUCCUUGUCACAGCUCAAAGGAGGAAGCAACUGCAUCUGCUACCCAGACUGCACGCUGCUAUUUCCAGGUGUGUUUUCCCCCUGCCAAACCUGCAGCAUAGGAAGCAAGCCCUGCCUGUUGCAUGGCUGGCUAAUCUCCUAUCAUUCAUUCUUCCAUUCAGCAAUGUAGCAUUGUGUGUUCUGUGUUUGGUAUUGCUGAAAUAAAGAGCAUAACUUGAGACAGAGUACAUAUGCCUGAAGAUUUUCUAGAAAGCAUAAACCUGAAGAAGAGAACAAAUUUUGCAUUGUGACCUUUAUUUUGAACUUCUUUACUUUCUUGCAGUGUGGGACAGGGACUUGAUUUUGUCCAGGACAACAGCAAUAACUUUUUUUCUUAGAGACUGGCCCUAGUGCUGCAGAAUUUAGGCUUUUUAGUCCUUGAGUGAUGAAGACUUGAUGAAGUGCUGGG